CGCUGGGCUCAGUGGAACACCAAAGCCUUCCAAGGCUGGGAUCAGAGGAACGCCAAAGCCUUCCCUCCUGUUCCGAGGGCCAGUGUUGAGAGUGUGUGUAGAAAAUGUCCACCAUAGCUCUGUCCCCAAGAUGUUUGCAGCCUGAAGACUGCUCUCCUACAGAGACUGCUCCUUCGGAGAUUUCCCUCCCUGUUCAGUUUUAGAGUUUCCUUCCAGUGCACUGGAGGAUUUUGAGAACCGCUUGUUGAUUUCUCAGUUAAGUCCUCUGGAGCAAGUCUUUGUCCCUUUGCUCCUCCCUGGUGUUCUGGUCUCUGGUAGGGACGCGUUUCAUUUGAAUCCCAACAUCAUAUAAUCAGUACUCUGUGAAGACUCGGUAUGUAACUUUCAUGGAAUUGAAUGUGACCUCUGAACAAUUCUUCAAGUUGGGCAGAUCUAAAUACACUCAAUUCUCUAGUGAGUCAUCUAGUGUUUUUGUGUGACGAAGAUGUCUUCUGCAUCUGUCAGGUACGUGGGUACUUUACCCAUGUAGCCUCAAUAUGAAUUUCUGCUCUCUCUGAGUUCCAGGAAUGGAAGACAUUUUUGAAAACUGGUACCCUAAAAGAGAGAGAGAGAGAGAGAGAGAGAGAGAGAGAGAGAGAGAGAGAGAGAAUCUGGGCGCCCUCUGCUGUCUCGGCUAAGUUCUGCUGCUGUAGAAAAGAACAC
rnacentral:lncRNA from 1 species